UUUAUUCCAUCCAAUAAGCUCAUUAAUCAUUAUCUAGCAUGGAGAGACACGCCUAGCCAAACUAUAAUACUGCUCCAAAAAAUUAGCCAAAAUAAAGGUUUAAAACAAAACAUGCAACACAUUAGAGAAUCGAAGUAAAAUCUAAGUGGUGACAUUAAACUUUAAAACUAGCAUUGGAAAAAAUAAAUGCAAACAAUUUUUUUUUUCUUUUCAAUUUGGCUAUGAUAAUGCACAGCGAAAUAGAGGACUCAUGCACUGUCCUCUAGUGGCCUUAGGCAACCUUCCAAUUUCCCAAUUAGUAUCUUACCUUACAGCCUAGGGAUGGAAAGCAGCAGAUUUAGCUUUAUAAUUUUGAAUGGGAAAUUUGAUUUUCUAUGCUUAGAAAAUCAAAAAAUUUGAUUUAUAAACCAAUAAUUAAAACCCUAAAAAAACUAUACCUUUUUUUUCAAAACCCCAAAAAUACCCCCAAACUAAAACUAUCUCUCUUUCUCUCUCUAUCUAGCCGGUCCCAAUAAUCCCACACCCCAGGUCCGAUGGUCGGACCAUGGGGUCCGACCAUCGGACCUCUCUCUUCCCCUCUCUCUCAAAUCGCAGGAAAAAAAAAAAAAAAAAAAAAAAUUAAA